AGUGAACGCUGGCGGUAGGCCUAACACAUGCAAGUCGAACGGCAGCACAGGAGAGCUUGCUCUCUGGGUGGCGAGUGGCGGACGGGUGAGGAAUACAUCGGAAUCUACUCUGUCGUGGGGGAUAACGUAGGGAAACUUACGCUAAUACCGCAUACGACCUACGGGUGAAAGCAGGGGAUCUUCGGACCUUGCGCGAUCGAAUGAGCCGAUGUCGGAUUAGCUAGUUGGCGGGGUAAAGGCCCACCAAGGCGACGAUCCGUAGCUGGUCUGAGAGGAUGAUCAGCCACACUGGAACUGAGACACGGUCCAGACUCCUACGGGAGGCAGCAGUGGGGAAUAUUGGACAAUGGGCGCAAGCCUGAUCCAGCCAUACCGCGUGGGUGAAGAAGGCCUUCGGGUUGUAAAGCCCUUUUGUUGGGAAAGAAAUCCAGCUGGUUAAUACCCGGUUGGGAUGACGGUACCCAAAGAAUAAGCACCGGCUAACUUCGUGCCAGCAGCCGCAGUAA
rnacentral:rRNA from 1 species